UUAUGCACAGCCCAUUUCAGAGAGGAGAGUUACAUCACCUAUGAGAUGAACACAGAAAUAUGUCAUACUAAUUUUGGUGGGAAUGGUGCCGGUAAAAAUGUAACAUCACCUGGGCGCUAGAUCCAGUGAUAUGUCACAAUCCUUACUGAGUGAACGGCCCAGGCAGGAGAGUCACAUCACCUCGAGCUUGGGCUAGGUAGGUAUCACGAUCCCAUGUAUGGGCUGGAAUAAGUCUGGAGAGUCAAAUUACACAGGUGCUUGGCAAAAAUUUAUAUCACAAUCACACUGCCAGAAAAUUCCAAAUAUGAGAUUUACAAU
rnacentral:lncRNA from 1 species